rnacentral:rRNA from 1 species
CGCCCUUAGAGUUUGAUCAUGGCUCAAGCGAACGCUAGCGGCACGCUUAACACAUGCAAGUCGAACGAAAUUUAUUUCGGUAAAUUUAGUGGCAAACGGGUGAGUAAUAUGCAGAAAUCUGCCCUUUUGAGAGGGAUAUCUAUGGGAAACUGUGAUUAAUACCUCAUAAGCUCGAAAGAGGAAAGGUCAUAAGACCGCUGAAGGAGGAGUCUGCAUCAGAUUAGAUUGUUGGUAGGGUAAAGGCCUACCAAGUCGAUGAUCUGUAGCUGGUCUGAGAGGAUGAUCAGCCACACUGGGACUGAGAUACGGCCCAGACUUCUACGGAAGGCAGCAGUGAGGAAUAUUGGACAAUGGGGGAAACCCUGAUCCAGCGAUGUCGCGUGAAUGAUGAAGGCCGU